AACCAUAGAAACCUGCGGAGUACCUGCGGAAGGAUCAUUACUGAAUUGAUUUUGGGGAUGUUGCUGGUCUCUUGAGGCAAUGGUGCACUCCCUCAAACAUUUCACAAUUUCCAUCUCACCCAUGUGCACAUCCUGUAGGUGGUCUCCCAACCCCCCCACCUUUCCUUGGGGGAGUGUGUGGGUCUGGUCUCCUAUGUAUUUCCUUGCCAACAUCACACGUUUUAACUGAAUGAAUCCUGU
rnacentral:misc_RNA from 1 species